rnacentral:tRNA from 1 species
GGGCGAAUAGCUCAGAUGGCAGAGCAUCUGCUUUACACGCAGGAGGCCACAGGUUCAAGUCCUGUUUCGCCCA